GAAGUAGGGGUUCACCUACGAAACGCGUAAGACAAUUGGACACACAUCAGGAUCAAGAUCCAACAUACACACAUCAUUUGAAGUCAGUAUUUCCUCAGGACCUGUUGGUUUGUUUAUCGAAUUGGAGCCGUCUACAACACACGCUCUCCCGGAGUGAGGCUCCCGCUGAGGCUCAUGCUGAACACACACACUGCCCUCACCGGCGGCAUCAGCACAAGCGACAACCGUGAAACUCAAUCCAUAUCCAUCCGACAAUAAUCCGAAGGUCUCUGAAUAUUUCUGAC